rnacentral:misc_RNA from 1 species
AUCAUAUCCAUCCUGGUCAGAGAAACAGAAUUCUAGCUCCUGAUUUGACCCAGUAGCCUCUUCAACUCCACUGUCAUUAGUUGCUGGAGAUGCCUCCUGUUCCAUUUCAGGGCACUUAUUUGUGUAGCCAUGUUCAGCUAAAAUUGCCUCUUCUAUUGCCAUUUGAAAGUCGCUUGGUCUGCUGCCAUACAAUUUAGUCUGCUCCUGAAAUCUGUCCAUAUAUUCUUGGAAAGGAAAGAUCAUUCCAGCUUUGACCCACCCAUAAUCCCUUUGCCCACUUCUGGAGUAGCCAUAAAACAUCACACAGAUAGUGCCUGGAACGCAAGCCCUUAAAACAGCCUCAGGUGCUUCGCAUAACGGGUCAAUCACCACAGCAGGCCAAGCAGGAUAAUUUUUUCCACAUUUUGCCCACACUAUAUCUCCCGAAACAAAAUCUGCGGGCUCAAAGAAAUCCUUUUUCUUUCCAACUUUCUCCUUAGUAA